rnacentral:rRNA from 1 species
ACGGACUCAUGCAGUCUGCCUCAUGGCAAGUACUGUGUGGGUUCGUGUUCCUUGGUGGUGAGCCUUGCUUGGUGGUGAGCCUUGCUUGGUGGUGAGCCUUGCUUGGUGGUGAGCCUUGAUGCUCUUAACUGGGUGUCUUGGUAAACCACCUCUGUUACCUUGAGAAAAUUAGAGUGUUCAAAGCAGGCAUAUGCCCAAAUACAUUAGCAUGGAAUAACAAAAUAGGACAUGCAGUUCUAUUUUGUUAGUUUCUAGAGUUGCCAUA